rnacentral:lncRNA from 1 species
CACCCCCACCCCCGGUCUCCCUCUUCUCUCUCUCCAUUUUCAAUGGCGACCAUCAAUGGCUUGACCUCACCACAGCCUUUUCUCUCUCUAUCAAAGCCCAAACCAAAACCCUCUUAUUCCCACUUCAAGCCUUUGAAGCCACAAAUCUUAUCCAAAGGCCUCAAACAGCAGAAUCAGCAGCUAAGAGACUGGGCAGUCGUGGGCUCGGUGGCCAACGAAACCGACCUGAUUCCAGUCCAAAGCAACGACACUACGGACCAGCAAAGCG